GCGGCGGGGCGAUGUGUGAUUGCCAUGGCGAGGAGGCUCUGUCCGGGGGCCUGGCUCCGCAAGCCCUACUCCCUGCAGGCAACAGGGAUUCGUGCACCAGGGAGGCCAGAUGCCCGAGCUGAAGGAAGACGGUCGGUCACCAGGGGGACCCAGUAGAUCCCGGGAGGAGGAGCAGAGAGCAAAUCCAUCACUCCCACCUCUUGCUCCCGCGUGCAUCCCGUAGAGGAGACAUGGCCACACACACAUCG